rnacentral:misc_RNA from 1 species
AAGUCGUAACAAGGUUUCCGUAGGUGAACCUGCGGAAGGAUCAUUAAUGAAUUUUGAAAGGGGGUUGUAGCUGGCCUUUCCGUCUGGGAGGCAUUUUGUGCACACCCCGAUCAUCGUCCAUUCACACCUGUGCACACUCUGUAGGUUGGUGGUACGAGGCACGGUCUUCAUUGAUUGUGCUUUGGAAGCCGUCCUAUGUCUUAUUUACAAACUCUUGUUGGUUUAAAGAAUGUCUGUUUGCGUUCAACGCGUCUAUAUACAACUUUCAGCAACGGAUCUCUUGGCUCUC